AGUGUUUGAAAACUCGGCCUAGGCGGGCGCUAGGCGGCUAGGCGGUCGCUAGACGGGCGCUAGGCGGCUGCUAGGCGGUAGCUAGGCGGGCGCUGGGCGGCUAGGCGGUAGCUAGGCGGGCGCUGGGCGGCUAGGCGGUAGCUAGGAGGGCGCUGGGCGGCUAGGCGGUCGCUAGGCGGCUAGGCGGUAGCUAGGCGGUUGCUAGGCGGCUAGGCGGUCGCUAGGCGGUUGCUAGGUGGCUAGGCCGGAGCUAGGCGGCUGGGCGGGCGCCUAGGCGGGUUGGGUCUUUUUCCGGUGCCG
rnacentral:lncRNA from 1 species